GCUUCUCCCUCAGCAUCGCCGGACGGGGGCUCGGCGGGGACUCUGGGGAGACGCUCCUUCUCCUGCGCUUCCCCGGGCGGCUCUGGCGGGAGGGAUAUUUCGAGCCCGUCCGAAGUAAGAAGUUGUAGAUAACGCAGCGGUUUUCCGCAGCUCCCGUCGGUGCCCGUAAGUGUUGCCUUCCGCACAUCGCCCGCACCGCCCUGCGAGCCCGUGCUCCCCCGGACCGCAUCUCCCCGUUGUUCUGCCGAGCUGCUUCCCCAGAGAUCACAGCUCCUUUUUGAAAAGAACCAUUGUAAUGUGUCUUCAUGUGCCAUGGAAUGGACUGGGAGGUCAUGAGUCAGACACAUCAGAUGGGAUAUCAAAUAAUGCAACAGCAUUUUCUGUAAGCUUUAGGAGUGAAUUAUUUUAGAUGGAAAGGUAAAACAGAAUGAAGGCACUACAUACAAGCCAACUGCUAUUAAUUAAACUGUUGUUUCUUGAUAAGCAAAGCAGAAUGUUCUUCCUCUGGAAAUUGGAGGAACCCAGUCAAAUAAACACUCAAACACUCCAUUUGUAGAGGCAAACAGUCUACAGAGAUAGUUUUUUCUGCCAAACACCUUAGCACAGGUUAUUAUAAAAAUUGUCACAUUUGAUUUGAGGCCUCAGGUGCGACUCCAAAACAAAGGACGAGUUUCUAACUUGUGAUGGAUGGUACCAAUCACUGUGUGACUCAGGCUGUUCCUAUGGUUUCACACACAGUAUGCAGCACAGUGCAUAUUCUGGGUUGUAUCAGAGUGUGUGGGCAGGCAUUUCUCUUCAGGAUCUGGUCCAGAAUUGUUUGUUUGCAGUAGUUUAUGGCUUGGCUCAUUUAUUAUGGUGUUGUGAUUGCUGCCCCCAGCCUCCAAAGAUUUUUUUUCAGAGAUGUGUCAGGACUUGGCACCCAAUUUUUCAUUUGUUUUAAAAAAAACUAUCUCUGCUUCAGUUUCUUGUGCUUCUUACCAUCAGACAAUGCCUGGCUCUGGCAGGAGAAUGCUCGACCAACACAGUGCUAGAAAGCAGUGUGUGUGUGCAAGUGUGAUACGCACACAUAUACAAAAGAAAUCUCAUCUCUAGGAGCAUUCUUUACAGGCCCACAGAGGCUUUUUUCAAACUGGAGCACACUGCAGACACUGGCUGGAUGCAGUCAGAUGGGGUGUAAUGUUAGCCAGAAACAGUGUGCCCCAGUUCCUUUCUUCUUCAUUGCUUUCAGUGUUUCCAAUAUCUGUAGAAAAGGAUAGACAUGGCAGGAGAGUUGCUAUAGCUGUGUCAUGGAUGUACUUUUCCACAUUCUAAAAACAAUUCUGUUCUUUCUGCCUUUCUCCCCCUCCCAACUCGGAGUCACUCACCCAUCAGGCAGCUCCAUCUAGAGGAGCUAGACACAGCUUCCCCUGUGACCCAGCACUCCCACCCAGCCUCUCAGCUAGACAUACCUGGCAGGGGAACAAGCUGGCCAAGCCUUUUGCUUGCUCCAUUUGAAUUUCCACUCAGUUUCUGAACACCAGGAUUUCCUCAAGCUAGGUACAGUGUUACAAACUGGGUUUUGGUUUUUUUGUUGUUUUUUUUUUUUUUCAGUUAUUAGAAAGAUGGUCUGAGUUAUAAGAUACUAUUUGAAAUAAAGCUAUUAAAAUAUAUUGUUUUGUAGGUUCUACAGUUGAUAGAACUAUUACAGUCCCAUGGGAAGCAGAAGCAAAAUCAGUUGGAUAAACAUGUAAAAAUGUGCAAUUAUUUUCAACUAGUGGAUAAAACACUGUAGAGAAAUAGUUUCUAUUUCACAUGACUGUAAAUGAAUAGAUUAAA